rnacentral:tRNA from 1 species
AUAUAGCUCAGUGGUAGAGUAUUUGCCUUGCAUGCAAGUGGCCCUGGGUUCAAACCCCAACAU